AUACAGUCAUCCAGCUCAUAUAACACUUAGAUCAGUUAUUUAUAAUCAGGACUAUUAAAAAUAGUCUUUCAGUUAUCAGUUACAAGUAAACUCAAAUAUUAGUAAAUUCAUAUUAUCAGUAGACUCUGUAGAUAGAACUCAGUACUCAGUCCUAUCAUGACCUCAGUUACAUUUACGUCUUCAUGCAUGCAUUUUCACGUUCAUGUAUAUAGUCAGUUUUAU
rnacentral:lncRNA from 1 species